UGGGGCGGCAGGUGAGAGGACAAUGGGCGGCGGGAGGAGGACAGGCAGCGGGUGAAGCCCCGCUGCCCCGAGAAGGACGGCAAGGCAAAGGGAGGCAGCAGCCUGAGGAGGAUGGUUCCUCAAACAGAUUGCCAAUAAGUAUGAUAUGUAAUUCAAGAUACAGAAUAAGUCUUGUAAAAGGCCAGAUCUUAGCUCUCUUGUAAAAGAGAUCCAGCAAGUGUUUAAAGAAAAGGAAAACAUCCAAACAGCAGUUAAGCUUUACCCGCAAAACAUAGAAAAUCCGCCUUUAGAGGAGCUGCAACUUUCAAACAAUAUUCAACGUGACCAAGAUAUAUAAAAUCCUAUCUGCAUUAUCUUGACAAGCAACUCAAGCCUUCUUGAAAACCUAUACCCCUAAUUUUAAAAGAACACUUAACUGACUUGUUCUUUAUUCCCUUAUAAAAUAACAUUUUAUGUGAUUUAGAUUUGAGUUUUUCCAUGUUUUAAAAAGACAACUGAAAAGCAGCUGUUAACAAAAACAGAAACCAACUAUAUUUCUUUGUUGAGAGAGAGAAACUACACUGAUUUGAAUUAUAUUCAUGAUCAACUCCAAGUCUUUUCUUCAAGAGGUUAGAACAAGUAAAUAAAUCUACAUCCAAGAUACAAGUUCUCAAACCAUGGAUUGAUCCCCUUGAGAUGUAUAGGAGUUGCUAUGGAUCCUGCCAGAACCACAGCCUUCCUCUCUUAGGAAAAGCAGCUGCCUGUCAGGCAUGUCUUGUUCUGAUUUGUCUCAUGUCAGUACUGGAGCAAGUUAUGCCCUGAUCCACAUCUUGAUAUGCAGCAAUGAACUACAUACAUACUGCAACUGCUCAUCGAGGUCUCAAACAAGAUGGAUGGUGAUGGACUGGAGGAUUGUAAGGUCCCAACACUCAGGGAGAAACACAUCGGUAAGGGCAUUCCUUAAUAACUGGUAACCGCCAUUAUCCUGUUCUCUAUGAAGCUUAAGGAAGCUCAUGCAUGGUGGAUGGUGAGGAAAGGGGGUGC